GUAGGAUUUAGCCACUGAAUCUGAAGUCUUCAAAGUACAUUGAACAAUGGCUACUGCUGCAUAAAUAUUUCGUUUUAACAUUCCUUUUGAGCGCGGGUAUUCCUCUCUCGAACUGUCAAUAUAAGUAUAUAAGUUGCAGGAUGAAAACAGGAUACUGUGCCGAGACUUGUCCAAAAAAAUGGGGUGCUAUAAAUAUGAGAUAUGAGUGUGUGGAAGACUGGAGUAAUCCCUUAAUGUGUUGCGUAGAAAAUUGGAUCUGGAUGGAUAAACCAAUCUCCAAUCUAAGCGUAGCUCUAGGAUGUUGAGCCUGCGAAGUUCAUUUUCAUACGCCUGUAGUACCUAGUUAAAACCGAUUAAUCAAGGAACGUAUCGGAUCGAUCCUGCCCAGAAAAUAAACAUACUUAACUUGAACAUUAAACCAUUUGUGUCAAUUGUUAUGUCAAUUGUAACGAAUGAAUUAGAUUCGAGGUGCUAUAAGAACUUAAAAAGUGGUACCGAAUCGCCAAUCCUCGAAGCACUUGGAACUAUGAUGAGGCUGAAUAGGUAUAUUUUUAUGUCUUUGAUGUUAAGCGUAUUGUUUUCUUUCUCCAACGGAGACAGACCUUGUAAAGGCAACGGAGGUGAAUGUGUGCCAAUCUCAAAGGUACCCAACCAAUGUGCAAAAAUGGAACGGCAUCCCUACCUAACAUUUGAGUCGUCCGAUUGUUCGAACAACGAACUGUGUUGUAUUCACGUAAUUUAAUUGGAACAGAUGCUCAAAGUUCUACAGUAAAUACGACUAAAGUUACCCCAAGCUCCCAACCAAUACUUCAAAGAGUUAUUCCCAUUGUAUUAGAUUCCGAGUGCAAUAAGGACCAUAAAAGGGGACUUAGCCACUGAAUUAAACAUCUUCAAGGUGCAUCCAACAUGGUUUUCCUGGAUAAACGUCUGUCCAUUAUGUCGUUAUGCAAUGUCAGCAAAAAGGAUAAAAGUCUCAGGGGUUUUUCUACUAUGAUGAAGACCACAUUUGGACUUAUCAAAGUGCCUCAAACAUCGCCUUCAUACGAGUAUUUACCACUUCUUCAUUGGCAGCUGGCUGCUCAAUUGAAUAUCGAAAGGCUCCCAGAAUUGUUCCCAUUUUCCAUUGACAUUUCCCUUUCGGCUGCAAUCCGGUCCGCAUCAAUGGAACGCCUCAAAAAAUGUAUUUUGCAUUUUACAAUUGCAAUGUAGAUGAAACCGCCAGCCAGAGGCAAUCGCCUGUCUGGCUCACUGGCUCACUGGCUGACUGUGGCUGGAGGUCCAUGCUCUCUUCCCUAGCCCGAACCGAGCCGGCAAGGACCCAGCGUCUCAGCAUCUCAGUCCGGGUAUCGUUACUCAGUUGCACAAAACGAGCAUAAGAAAUGGAAUGGAAUUUUCAGCAAAAUUA